rnacentral:lncRNA from 1 species
AGCUUUUAAUCAGGCUGCCCGAUGGAUCGGAGACCGAGAUUGCGGUAUGCGACUUAAUCCAAUCAUUAGCCAGAACGGAAGUUGUAUACCAUAAGUAUAACAAUUAGAAAUCUCAUCUUUUACAUGGUAGACGUUGCAUAUGCUGAGGCAUUGUGCUGAUUGACAGGCAAGACUUGGCUACACAGUGCAAUAUCUGAAGGCCCUUCUGCACAAGGAGCAUGGCCUGCCCUUAAACAUGGUGUGUCUGCAUGUCUUUGAUCUUGCCAGAAAGUCCUCAAGUCGCAAGCAAAUCAUAUCUAGCCCUUUACGUCAUGGCAUGGUGCACUGUAAGACAUUUACCCUGUCAAAGCUAAUGAUAUCGCUACCAAGUCCAAGAUUGGGAGCUACUUUUGGCACGUGAAAUUGGAUUGAGGGGGCUUGACAAGGCUGCUAUAUAUUGCUUGCAGGGGCUUGAGGGCACAGAUGGGACGCUGCUAUUGGACCCCUUGUCUCUGUCUGAUUGCAGAAGCAUCAGAGCAAAUGCAACAAAUGUUCUCAUCGUCAAGGUGUCAAGUUGAAUCAAGAGGCCAUUGAAUUCGAACUCUGAUCAUGGUUGGUGGAGCUGACUUACACGCCCAGCUGGCGCCGAUAAAAAUUAUUUGAAGCUUUCUAGAUUCUGGUAGCAUGAUGAAAAAAGUCGGUGAAGAAAG